CCAGGUAUCACCUGGAAAUAAUUUACAGGUGGUGAACUUUACUCCUCGGCGUACAGAACGGAUAGCUCAUCAAACCAGCGGAGCUGGUAUAUAUAUAUAAAUUAACAGGAACUCCUAAGUACUUACCUUUUUGUUGUGAAGUGGAGACUGAAGUCCCUAGACCACCGGAAUAUUUUAGCGAGAUUCCGUAUUUAAAGCAUCGUAACCACAACCAUUGGAGUUGGGUGUUUUGUAACUGUGUAAAGUAACAUAAAAUAUUCUGCACAGUUCCUGGAGAGGAGAUGAAUCCCGUAAGGGCUUUGCAAGUGGAAAACACGCCCUUAAGAAGUACGACUGCUGCCGAGAAGAUGAGAAACCUCGCUGCUCCAGGCACCGGAGUAGGCGAAGUAGGCAGAGGCGUACGGAAAAGGACGUGUGAGUACACCGUGAGAUCAUCGGCGGGUAAUAGCGAGAAACAGACACUUCGAGAGGAAAAAUGGACUCUGAGAGCCCGACCAGGUAUGCCCUGGCAAAGAGAUAAUCGGGAAUUGACAUCGACACCUAUUGGUGUUCCUUGGGGAACCCCACCAGCAAUCCGUGUUUGGAUGAUGUUACUGUGGUAUUUGCUUGUUGGGCAUACGGUAUCUGGCAAGGUCAGCCAUCAACCCUUCAAAUGGUCACUAAUACAAUUAGAACACUCAGUUGUCAUACAAAAUAGAAUUACCCUGGGCGCUCCCUCUUUCACGGCCCACUUAAGUUCCCUAGUAAGGUCAUACCAUGGAUGGGCCCCCAUUGAUGAGAAUACUC